GGGUGGUAGUAAAGUUGAACAGCCAUGGGUAUAUUGAAGAAUCAUAAUCGUUGUCAGAGAGAUCAAGGAAAGCAAGAGGGGCAGAGGAAUUAACAGGGGAAAAAGACGGAGUAGUGAGGGGUGGGAGGCUACAACAUGGUAAGUUUAAGUGAAUGAGAGAAGGGAGUUUAUUAAUUGCUUGUGACUAGUGGAUGGCUUUACUAAGGUUAACAUACUUCAAGUCAAGGUGUCUUAAAGACGAAAGAUGAGAAAGCCACUCAAGAUUUCCACAAUUCAAAUCAUAAUUAUAGCUGAGAUCAAGGGAAAGCAAGUUGGAAAGAUUUCCGAAAUGGCUGGGAAGACGUCCAGUGAAAUUGGCAUAAGAGAGACUGAGGUGUUGGAUUUUGGUGAGAGAAGCAAGGAAUGGAGGUAUGGGUCUCCCUUCAAAAUCAUUAGAGCUCAGAUCAAGGGAAAGCAAGUUGGAAAGAUUUCCGAGUUGGCUGGGAAGACGUCCAGUGAAAUUGGCAUAAGAAAGAUUGAGGUAUUGGAUUUUGGAGAGAGAAGCAACGAAUGGAGGUAUGUGACUCCUUUCAAAAUCAUUACAGCUGAGAUCCAAAUGAGUCAAGUGCUCCAACUCAAGCAGUGAAGGGCUUAUCUCACCUCUUAGAGACUGGAACUUAUGCACAUAUUCAUCCUCAAAUUCAGUUGGCGGUGCAGGAAGAUGAAGCAUGACGAUGUGACCUGACUGGUUGCUACACCGGACUCCUCUCCAUUGGCAACAAUCUCUUGUGUCCCAAGAAGACAAAAUGCCAUAGUCAUCCACAAGGCCAUGUUUGAAGCGAAGCAGAGCUUGUCUCUCCCUCUCUACGCACCCCACAGUGGUUCCAAGCCCAGCUUUGGCACAUACCACAACAAGCACAAGAAAGCUAAAAAGGAGGCAUUCAAAGGAACGCAUAGCCAUAGUCAUUCAAAGGAGGCAGUCCUGCAAGUAACACUGGGCUUUUUUGUGGAUUCACACAACACCAAGCACUCAUAUAUAUAAUAUUAUCCAUCUGCCUUGUUUUUAUUUUUCCUUUUUGCUAAUUAUAUUAUCCAAAAAUAAAUUGAAGUAUUCAUUUUUUAUGGUAUGGUAC
rnacentral:lncRNA from 1 species